AAAAAUUGAUGCAUCUAAAAUGUUGGAUGGGAGGCCAUAUGCCUAUAGAGUAUAGACGCGCCUUGAACCCUAUCACUCGAGAGAACCCUUCGCCUGCGCCAUUCUCCUUUCUCCGGUAGCUAGCAUCACUUCCUCUCCAAGCUGUUUGCUCCGAUUCACAGAACUUCUUCAUCUCUUCCUCUCCAAACACUUUGUUGCAAAAGAAACCCUUUCGCCGUCUUCUCUUGAAUCACAUAGAAUCCCUUCCAUCAUUUUUCUCUUGGAUCGAUCACACACUCUUUUUCUGGAAUCACCGAGAACAAUUUGAUAUAGAAACUCGUCAUUGUCUUCCUCCGAAUCACAAAAAAAAUAAAAUAAUUCUUCUCGAAUCGCACAUAGCUAUUCACAGAUAAACCCAUCGUCUUCGUGAAACCCUUAAGCAAACCAUUUGACUCUAACCACAAACCCUAAAACAAUUUUCGAAUUCCUCACGCAACAAAACCAAAUCGUACAUAGGUCGUUCUCUGUCACGACUUCACAGCGCUCUAUCUUUGCCGAGACCUUGCUAGGACGUUGCCAAGUUCAAUUUGAAAGCGCAACUCAUGGCUUUCUUCUUUCUAAGUCAUUGAAUUUUACUCUGUCCUUGAAGAUCACAUAUCUCUAUAGGAGUGGACUCGCUGGCUUUUCAUAUAUUUUGUAUUUUAGUAAUUAUUAUGUAAUUGCAGUUACUAUUUCAUUUACCGGUAUAAGUGGAAAAUAGUAGUAUGUAGGUUAUCUAUGAGUGGUAGUCAACCAUAGCUUUCAAUGAGUUGAUUUAGCUUUUCUCACAAUCCAUAAGAGCAGAUAUUAUGUGUACCAUCUUACAUGUGUGCGCAGUUCAGCAAUUUGAUCCUUUUUUUUUGUUGUUUUUUUUAUUUUGGAGUUCAGUAAUGCCAGAGAUAUUUUGGACAAGUUGAGGACUAUAAGUGUGAAAGUAAUAGUGGGAAAAUGACACUUCCAGCUUGUAUGUAAUGUAAGACGUACCACCAUUUUUCUAAGAUUAAAUUUCUUCAUUGAGCAAUCAACAUCUAUGUCGACCUUCGACAAUAUCUCACACAAUUCUUCAUCGAGCGUUUGGAUAAUCCAGGUUAUAGAUUGUGCUUAUGAUAAUGCAGUGUGAAUGCUGUAAUUAAGUAGCACUGAAAUAUUAUAAUUCACUGAAAAUCCUUUGGUAAAUAAGGCUUUUAUAACAACCCAUGUCAAUUUAUCUAGAAUAUCGACAAGAGUGUACAUAACUGAAUCGGAAAACAUUAAAUUUUCAUUACAUAAAGAUCAAACACAAGAAUAGGAUUACAAAAUCCAAGAAGUGAAUACAAAUUUGAGCCAACAACUAAACAUAAAUAAACUGAAUCUUAUACAAGAUAUAAGAUAAACAUAACGUCAGCUCCAAAUCGUACUUCACGUAUCUGGGUCUUCAUGCUUGCUGACCACGACAUCGCGAUCAUCCUGCUUAUCUGAAAUCAAAUAAGUGGGGGAUGAGACAGUCACUUCGUCUCAAUGGAUUCCUACUACCCAGUUACUAUUGGUGUCUACACCGGGGCAACUGAUGAACUAAAAGUUCCUUGAUCCUGAUUGUCAGUCUCUAACAUAAUUUCAUAAACAUAAUAAUAUAAAGGUGUAACACAAAUUAAGUAUCUUGUUUAUUUUAACAUAACUAAGACACUCUGAGGUGAGCCGAUCUCAGAGGCCUGACAUAUCCGUCGUUGAUGAUUAUACGCAUCGACACGGCAUGAAGCUCACAAUCGUAACAUGAUUGGAUUCCUCGAAUCCCAUAACGUGGUACAUAAGUAACCACCAUGAUUGACUGACUUCCUUAACAUAACUUAACUAUCCUGAUUGUUAUCCUGCCCAUGAAUUCCCUCCCUGGGUAACUAACUUGUCCUGAUUUCUUGAUUAUCAUAACUUAAUGUGUAAUUAACAUUUUAAUUCAGGAUUAUACCUGCAUUAUUCACAGAAAAUCAUCUAGAAAGAUUGGGGAAUCAAAAGAGUAAUACAGUUCCUGUUUUCAAAUUCUGCAGAAUUCUGAGUUGAUAUCCUUGCUUAGCGAGAAGUACGUCGCUUAGCGAGAUUAUCAGCUCAGUACUCUGUUUUCAUGUUUUUCACCAUUUUUACAAAACUUCUCACCACAAUUCCCUUUUCUCGCUAGCCAUGAAUAAUGCAACAUAUAUUACAUGAUUAAAAUGGAGAGAAGCUUUGGGAUUAAGCUCCUCUCAUACACUAAUUGAUCCUAAACUUUUGUGAUCAUGCACAAUUCAUAAUUUGGGGAUACUAUUAUCAUAUCUAAACUAAUGUUGUCAUGCAUAAUUUUGGGGAAACUAAUGGAGCUAAAACUAACUAGCGUUUAAGGCUCUAAGGGAACCCACCUGAAAAGAAGCUUGAACAAUACCAGCGACACUUCCAGAGCUCGCCAAAACGCAUAAUUUGCAAGUGAAAUGCUAUAAACCCAUAAUCAGAAUUUUCUGCAUAAUUCUGCAUCAGAGCUCCGACUUCAAAGGCGUCCCCAGCCCUCAAUAUUGAUCCAAAUUAUACGUGGUUGACACCGAGACGACGGGAAUUUCGUCGCCUUUCCAGACAUGUAAGUCUUAUUCAAAACGGAUUUACGGUUUGUCAGCUUUGACUCGAUUACUGAAGACAGGUCCAGACUCAAAAGUGCAGAAAGUUUUUCUUACAUUACCAAUCCAAUUCCUUCUUUUCUUUUAUUUAUUCUAACUCAUCUGUUUCUUCAAAAUCCAACCAGUAGCAUAUUUUAAACACAAGAUUACAGCUCCAAUCACAACCCAUGAUUCCUUGACCACAAGAAAUUCACAUGCAAGUGCUCCAAAAUAUAAAUUAGUGAGUUUUCAUAACAUACCUAAACAAAACAUCAGAGGAAUAGAUGAGAGCUUGAUGAUUAUUACCUUAAAUUUCUUCUUGGCCACCCAAUCACUUAAUUCAUGGCAGAAUUCCUCACAUGCAAAGUUACCAAAAUCCAAUUCAAGAUAGUAAAAUCCCAAUUUCUCAUAAAGGGUUGAAGUUGUGGUAUGCAAGCUUGAAUGUGUCCAAUUAAUGGAAAGGGAUGAUUUUGUUUGAAUGAACGAGGAAGGAAUGGCGAACAGAGAUGAGAGAAAAUGAGGUAUUGGGUUUCAUGAGUAGAGUGGAGAUGGUGGUGUUCUUAGGCGUGGGAGAGACGAGAGUCGCAUCUCUUGUGAUUUUCUUUCUGACUUUACAAAAUGAAAGAAAUGAAUGGUGUGAAUUACUCAAGUACUUAUUUCAUGUUUAAUUACUAUCUCGCCCUUCCACUUUUUUCCAACUAGUCUCUAAUAGUUAUCUCUAAUUAAUAUUCUUUUAUUAAUUAAAGUUGGGAUAUUACAGCUUUGAAUUGAAUUUCUAGUUUCAGCAGGGUGAACAUCAAUCAAGUCCACCAACAUCGCAUUUGGUAUUGAACAAUUAUGGUUCUUUGUUUCUAUGGUAUCAAUUUUGUGUCAAAGUUGUUCAUUUAAGUAUGAUACUAGUAUGCCAAUUUCAGCUUGUCGGCUGCCGUCCUCCUUAGUGUUGUAAAAAUUGGACCUAAUCACAAUAAUAAACCACAUAUAUUUAUAUAAGUAAUCAAAAUAACGAAUAACAUAAAAUAAGAAUAGAUAUUAUAGAAACUUAUCUUUAUUGAUUUCGUCAACCACCGCAACAUAAGCAGCCAUGAACUUUCAAAACCUUGAAUGACCUGCAAAAUAGUGAACCAUCAAACAAUACCUGAGGCGUGCUGAUCGCACUGUCCUUAAGGAUUUAUCCGCCUCAUAAGCGCAAAUCCCCCAGAAUUCAACAGGUCCUUCCCGGAUAUGAAUCAUAUCCGAGGUGACAGAACUAGCAAGAAUUAAUAGAUACCGGUGAUAUAAUCCAAGAAGAUAACUCAAUUGUAUGUGAAGAGGAAAAUAAUUUUCUAUUUUAAUAGUGUGAUUUUUGACCUCAUAUAAAACAAAGGAAGAGGAAGCAAUCUCUUCCAUGAGUAUUUUCUCAUUCUCUACCUCUUUAUUUUCUUCUUGGUAUAUUUCUUAUAAGCACAAUACAUUGGAUCCUCUAUAAAAUUAUUAACCUUCCAACCAUAAAAUCCUAGUAAUUAGUAUUGAAAACCAAUUAAUAAGAAUUAAAAGAUAAACAUUUACUUUAUAAUAUGUUAUUUCAUGGUUUACUAUUCUCCCUAUUUGAGACUCGGUGGUUGCUUACUUCGUGGUAGUGCCGACAACGAUAUACAACAAUCAUAGAUAAGUUCUAUAAUCUCUAUUCUAUUUUAUUAUCGUUAAUGUUUAUUGGAUUAUUUAAAUUUAUAUGUUGUUUAUUAUUGUGAGUAGGUCCAAAUUUUUACAACACAUAGUUGGAUAGACUAUGUAGUUCAUUUAUAGUACACAAAUCUUGCUUUUAGUAGAGUUUUAUAGAUUAGUCUAGGUGUGUCUAUAUUUGUUUUUGCUUUUAGAUUGGUUUCAUAAGAGCCUUGUAAUAAUUGGUGUUUUAAUAUAAAAUUGAUCCAUGGUUAUCUUUUGUAAUAAUUGGCUACCAUUCUUUUUUAUGUUCGAACCAUUAGCUAAUGCUCUUUCUUUUUUUUUUUUUUAAAUCCGAAGUCUGUUAAGAAAUACUUUUUUAAGUCAGCAGUUAACCAAUUACCUUACCUAAGAAGAACUUUGUUAAGUCGACAUAAGAACUAUUUUCUUAAGUCGGUUGAAAAUCCGACCUCAGGUCAAAACUUCUUAUGUCGGCAGUUGUUAAGUAUGGAACCAACUUAAAAAGGCGUUUUUAACCGACCUAAAGGAUGAAAUGGGCAAUUUAUGGGUUGGCGAAUCAGGGCAUGAAAAUGGAAAGGUAUACAACAUGAUGAAGUGUCUUAGAAUUUUUUGAGAAUAACAUUAUCGAUGUAAUGCCUGGUGAACACGAAUCUUGUCAUUGCCUAUAGUGGCUUAGUUAGGGGGUUCAGAUCUGUUCGAUUUUAAUUGAGGUAGUUUUGUAAAAUAGGGUUGUCUUAUGGUCUGUCUUUAUGCAGGGUGAAGAAAUAAUUGUGGUAAUUUCACGGGAAGAAUGGUGGAAAUUGGCUCUUAAAUAUGGCCCCAAUCCACAAAUUGCCUUGCUUCCCCCCUACAUCCAGAAUUGCGUGUAAAAUUUAACUCCACCACAGCAUGGGAGUGUGUUCGGAGCAUGUCAGGCACGCCAUAUGAAUAUCACCAUAUCAUUUUCAGUUGGAUAAACACUGUUGCUGACAACUAUCCUCCACUUCUUGAUGCCCAUUGUAGCUGCUCUGUGCUAUUUCUGCAGUAGGGAGAGCCAAACAGAAGCAAAGUACUGUCAUUUUGCUACAAUGGAUUCAGAUUGCAUGGUUGAUUAAGUUUCGUGUAUCGCAAACUCACAAGGUUAAUAAGUCUAACUCUCACUGCAAAACCGCCAGCGACACUGCUUUCCUCAAUGUGAGAUUCCCUACCUCCACCUCGGUGAUCGUUAUGGCUCCCGGUAUGAUAAUCUUUUCAACAUAUCGUGAACCGACUUCAUGAUUCCCUCGCAUGAGGAGUUCGACAAGAUCGAGAUGUACUCAGAUGGCUGGCUGACCUAGUCAAAUGUAAUAUGUGACAGGGUGUUUGUCAUACACUGACAAGAUUUCGGACGGAUUUUAUAACAUAUUGGGAAUGAGUCCAUAUUUAUGGGUGAUGCAAUGAUAUGGAGGAAGGAGGGAAUUUUCUUCCUACAUUGAUGCCGCUUAAAGCAGUUGAACCCAAUGAGAGUUCAUUGGAAGUAAUUUGAUAGACAUGAGGAUUCUCGUCUUAAGGUGCUUCAAGAUAAAGCUCAAGAAUUGUACUCUGCUUCUGAGAAUGCCUUGGUUCUUGUUGAGAAGCUUGGAAAACUUGUUGCUAUAUUUAUGGGGUAAGAAUAAGAUCACAAUAUAUGAGAACACUGUGAUCUGGGUGGUCGCGACAUAACAAUUUUUUAUGUCCAUGAUAUGACUAUGAUCUAGACAAAUGUGAUCUAGGUUGUGACAUAACAUUUUUUUAUGUCCCUGAAACGACCAAAACUGUUACAGUGACCCUAAUAAUAAUGAAAAUUAGCAAAGUUAAAAUCUGAUGAUAAUGAAAAUUAGCAGUGUUAUUGAUU